GCCCGGCUUCCCCCGUGCAGCCACCUCAGAGCCACGGAAUCCUGGCUCUGAAUCCCAGAAUCCCUUCAGUAUCAGCUCCAUCCUCAGCAGGAUCAUCGAUUUUCCUCCCGUUCUCUUCAUCCCGCCUCGAAUUCCCCCCCCAUCACGAGGAGCUCGGAGAGGGGAUGGAAAUUCCCAUCCAGGAAUUGCUGGGAGCCAAACCCACCCUGUGCUCUGUCAGAUCCCAUCUCCCAGCCUCUUAAAUCAAACCUAACCCGGCUCCGCCGAGGGAAAUCCGGAGCUGCUCGGGGCAAGAGUUAAAAUGUGUUAAGCACCGAGAUCCAGGCCAGAUGUGGAACUCUCCGGGGCCACCACGGGGCUUUGAGCCGCUGCUUUGACACCUCUGCUUUCCACAUCAAGAGUCCCGGCGGGGAGGAAAUCCUCCUGAAAUCCUCCUGGCCGGAGUUAUGUGCAAUUUACCGAGGGGGGCAGCCCUUGAAAGCAGUCCCGAUAAAACCUGGAAUAAGAAUAAAUUAUUAGCAUAGGCUGGGAAAAGA